rnacentral:rRNA from 1 species
AUUGAACGCUGGCGGAAUGCUUUACACAUGCAAGUCGAACGGCAGCACGGGGGCAACCCUGGUGGCGAGUGGCGAACGGGUGAGUAAUACAUCGGAACGUGCCCGGUCGUGGGGGAUAACGUAGCGAAAGUUACGCUAAUACCGCAUACGAUCUGAGGAUGAAAGCGGGGGACCUUCGGGCCUCGCGCGAUCGGAGCGGCCGAUGUCAGAUUAGGUAGUUGGUGGGGUAAAGGCCUACCAAGCCGACGAUCUGUAGCUGGUCUGAGAGGACGACCAGCCACACUGGGACUGAGACACGGCCCAGACUCCUACGGGAGGCAGCAGUGGGGAAUUUUGGACAGUGGGCGCAAGCCUGAGCCAGCCAUUCCGCGGGCAGGACGAAGGCCUGCGGGUUGUAAACUGCUUUUGUAUGGAACGAAAAGGCUCUGGCUAAUACCUGGGGCUCAUGACGGUACCGUAAGAAUAAGCACCGGCAAACUACGU